UACGUAGGGUGCGAGCGUUGUCCGGAAUUAUUGGGCGUAAAGAGCUUGUAGGUGGUUUGUCGCGUCUGCUGUGAAAAUCCGAGGCUCAACCUCGGACUUGCAGUGGGUACGGGCAAACUAGAGUGCGGUAGGGGAGAUUGGAAUUCCUGGUGUAGCGGUGGAAUGCGCAGAUAUCAGGAGGAACACCGAUGGCGAAGGCAGAUCUCUGGGCCGUAACUGACGCUGAGGAGCGAAGGCGUGGGGAGCGAACAGG
rnacentral:rRNA from 1 species